rnacentral:rRNA from 1 species
CAGCCGUAAACUAUGCGCGUUAGGUGUACUGGUGACCACGAGUCACCGGGGUGCCGAAGGGAAACCGUGAAACGUGCCGCCUGGGAAGUACGGUCGCAAGGCUGAACUUAAAGGAAUUGGCGGGGGAGCACCACAACGGGUGGAGCCUGCGGUUUAAUUGGACUCAACGCCGGAAAUCUCACCGGAUAGGACAGACAUAUGAUAGUCGGGCUGAAGACUCUACUUGAUGAUCUGAGAGGAGGUGCAUGGCGUCAGUGACU